rnacentral:misc_RNA from 1 species
GUGGGAGGGGGCUUGCCCCCGAUGGCGGUGUGUCAGUCACCAAAUACUUGGACUGAUCCACAGCUAUCGGGGGCAAGCCCCCUCCCAC